rnacentral:tRNA from 1 species
GGGCCUGUAGCUCAGUGGAUUAGAGUUUACGUUUCCGACACGUAAGGCCGGGGGUUCAAGUCCCUCCAGGCUCA